rnacentral:lncRNA from 1 species
AAGAAAAAUACUAAUUUUUUCAAAGGCAUAUUAUUAAAAAAUAAACUUUAACUUUCUAAAAUCUGCAACACCUCUAGCUUUUACAAAAACCCCAGCCAUCCGAGAAUAAAACAUGGCCACAAGGAAUUUAAAAUCAACCACCUGUUAACUCUUCCAUAUGCACCACCGAAAGAAAAACUCCUAUGCUACGCGAGGUAGAAAAUUCCGAGCAGAUGCAGGUGAAUAUAAUAACAAAUCCACAAGCCUCUGUUGCAGUCACUGUCAUGUGCAAAAAUUUGUAUGUACCUCAUACGAAAUUUCCUUGUGAAAAUGCCCCUAGUCAUCGUUCAGAACUCUAUUCAAAUCUCAAAACCUAACAAAUUCGAAAUGAACAUCGCGGUGGGGGCAGUGGCGUGGUUCCUCCGGCAGGCCAGAUGACGCGCGAGCCACCGAUGUUGGUCUGAGAGGCUGCGAAAGAGAAAUUGGAGGAGCGGCAGAACGAUUGGGUCAUUUGGGUGUAUUCGAAGCCGUGGUGGUUCUCAACAUCGUGUGCAACUUUGCAUUUGUAAGGAUUUAUUAUUUUUUAAAGGAUUAAUUAAGUUUUUACUAGUCAAACGUUUUGAAUUUUUUAUCUUUAAAUUAUUAUUUUUUUUAAAAUUUAGUUUUUAAAGAAUUUAUUAUUAUUAAAAUUAAUUUUUAUUGUUAAUGUCCUCUUAUAAUAAAAUAUCAUGAAAUAAGAUAGAUUAAAUAUUAAGUGUAUAUUAAUGACAAAAAAUGUUUUAUUAUAUUUAGAUAAAUAAUUAAAAUAUUAUAUUAUUAAAAUAGAAAAAAAAAAAAGAAUCAUUAUUAAAAACUGACCCUCCAAACACGUAUGAACGUACGACAAUUACCUAUGGACAGAUUUACGGUGUGCCAUACAACAAUUCAUCUUCCUCAUGUGUGUACAAUAUAUGAUGAUAUUCAUAAGCAGCUCAACACGUAACAAAUUUUUUUAACAAUAGGAACUAUUUUUAGUAACAUAGGAACUAAUUUUUUUUAAAAAUAAUUUAGGAAUUAAAUAUUCAAAAUAUCAUAAUUUAAGGACUAAAAAUUUAAUUAACCAUUUUUUAAAUAAAAUAAAGAUUGUGGAGUUUUUUAAUUUUUAAUAUGUUAAAUUAAUUAUUUUAAAAUUUAAAAUACUAACAAAGUUAAAUGAAAAUAGGAAAAUAUAUUAAAAUGAAAAUUAAAAAAAAAUUAAAAUUUAAUGUAUCCAAAUAAAACAAAUAAAAUUUAAUAGAAAAAGAGAAAGAGAGAGUGAGAAAGAUAUUAUGAAAUCGAAAGGGGAUGGCACGCCAUUCUUUACAAUGGCCCUACAUAUUAGAGUGUCUUCUUUAGAUCUUUUUCUUUUGGAUUUUUUGGGGUCAUGAGAUCUAAGCUCGGGGGUUAUGUUGGUAUGAACUUUUGUUGUGUGAACUCCCACUUGUGUCCAUCUAUCAUUGAUCUUUAUAUUUGAACCAGUUAUGUUAGGGGAAUCCUAUCGAUUGGUUGGGGGGACAUGUUCACUGGCAUUUAGUGAUUUAAUACCUUCAAUUUUUCCAAUACAUAUAUUAAAUUUUUUAAUUAAAUAAAUUCACCCUAUUUAUUACUUUUCUUAUGAUAGUUGUCAACAAUAUGUUAUGUAUUAUCAACUACUAAGUAUUAUCAAUUAUUUUAAUAUUGACGAGAACUGAAGCAAUCGUUCAAUUCCAUUAAAAUAAUAAAUAAUAAUAUUAUUUGUAGCUCGUAUGUGAAUAUUAUUUAUGUUUAUAUAUUAAAUUAGAAAAAAAAUUCUAAGAGUAGUUGAAUCUUAGUUUAUUUUUCUUCAAAAGAGUAUGUGCGCUUUUUGUAAAUUCUAUUCUUUUAGAUUCUAAAUUUAAUUUUUAAUUAAUUAUAAGUAUAUACUUUAUAAUUUUAAAUAUUUAUUUUCUAGUUUUAAUUUACAGUUCAUAUUUAUUUAAAUUGAAAAAUCUAUAUAAUGCAUGUAAUUCAUGCUAGUAAAGCAUCAUUUAGUUAAUCUUUUGAAAAAAUGGAUUGUUUUUUUCUUUUGGCCCUGGGGUUGGGACUUGGGAAAUGUCAAAGGUUCAUAUAUGUCAUAGCCAAGCACUUCUUAUUUGCUCCUCCAAGUUUACUAAGUACAUCCUCUCCCUUCUUUUUAUAUUUUUUAAUUGCUCUAUACCCUUUCAUUUGUUAAAAUAUAGUUUCAGAAAUCACUUUCUAACAACAUAUAUCAAUUCUGGAAAAUUAUUUUUGGAGCUAUAUUUUAACAAAAACUACUUUAUAAGCGUUGUGUUUGUUACUUUUUAAAUCCUAUUUUUCAUCCUAUCUUUAUUAUUGUCUAAACUCUAAUUUUGAACUCCCAAUCUUCAUUUGUAUUUAUUAUUCUUUAAACCUUGUUAACAUAAUAUCAUGUUUUCCAUAAAAAUAUUUAUUCAUGACAUUGUGCAUUUUCCUCGACCUGACAUUGUGUUUCAAGGAAUGUCCAAUAUUGACUUCAUCUCUUAUAGUGUCCAUUGGAUUGGAAAUCUCAUAUAUUAGGUGUCAUUCUCUCAGUGUCUUUGUGUUUAGGUUGUCUUUGGAAUUUCAUUUGGUUUUUGCUUGUUUUGUUGCUUGAGGACAAGCAAAGUUCUAAAUUUUGGGUGUUGGCAGUUGCCAUAUAUUCCUACAUCCUGUAGUUCCAAUUAUGUGAUAUCUCUUAUACUUUUUAGCUUUCUUUAUGUUCUUUUUAGUAAACUUUUGAAUAAAAGCUUAGUUUAUUUAGGAAUUUUUAAUUUUUGCUACUUUUAAGCUUGAUCUUGAGUUGUUCGUUUGUGUUUUGUAGGAAAUUUGAGGAAGGACCGCUUAGAGAAGAGUUGAAAAGCAUUAGCACCAUUUUGGAAGAAAAAA